rnacentral:rRNA from 1 species
UACGUAGGGGGCAAGCGUUGUCCGGAUUAUUGGGCGUAAAGAGCGUGUAGGCGGCCAAGCAGGUCAGCUGUGAAACUCGAGGCUCAACCUCGAGACGUCGGUUGAAACCGCUUGGCUAGAGUCCGGAAGAGGAGAGUGGAAUUCCCGGUGUAGCGGUGAAAUGCGCAGAUAUCGGGAAGAACACCCGUGGCGAAGGCGGCUCUCUGGGACGGUACUGACGCUGAGACGGCGAAAGCGUGGGGAGCGAACAGG